rnacentral:rRNA from 1 species
UAGGGAAUUUUCGGCAAUGGGGGCAACCCUGACCGAGCAACGCCGCGUGAGUGAAGAAGGUUUUCGGAUCGUAAAGCUCUGUUGUAAGAGAAGAACGUGUGUGAGAGUGGAAAGUUCACACAGUGACGGUAACUUACCAGAAAGGGACGGCUAACUACGUGCCAGCAGCCGCGGUAAUACGUAGGUCCCGAGCGUUGUCCGGAUUUAUUGGGCGUAAAGCGAGCGCAGGCGGUUUAAUAAGUCUGAAGUUAAAGGCAGUGGCUUAACCAUUGUUCGCUUUGGAAACUGUUAAACUUGAGUGCAGAAGGAGAGAGUGGAAUUCCAUGUGUAGCGGUGAAAUGCGUAGAUAUAUGGAGGAACACCGGUGGCGAAAGCGGCUCUCUGGUCUGUAACUGACGCUGAGGCUCGAAAGCGUGGGGAGCAAACAGG